rnacentral:rRNA from 1 species
AGUGAACGCUGGCGGUAGGCCUAACACAUGCAAGUCGAACGGCAGCACAGUAAGAGCUUGCUCUUACGGGUGGCGAGUGGCGGACGGGUGAGGAAUACAUCGGAAUCUACUUUUUCGUGGGGGAUAACGUAGGGAAACUUACGCUAAUACCGCAUACGACCUACGGGUGAAAGCAGGGGAUCUUCGGACCUUGCGCGAUUGAAUGAGCCGAUGUCGGAUUAGCUAGUUGGCGGGGUAAAGGCCCACCAAGGCGACGAUCCGUAGCUGGUCUGAGAGGAUGAUCCGCCACACUGGAACUGAGACACGGUCCAGACUCCUACGGGAGGCAGCAGUGGGGAAUAUUGGACAAUGGGCGCAAGCCUGAUCCAGCCAUACCGCGUGGGUGAAGAAGGCCUUCGGGUUGUAAAGCCCUUUUGUUGGGAAAGAAAAGCAGCAGGUUAAUACCCCGCUGUUCUGACGGUACCCAAAAAAUAAGCACCGGCUAACUUCGUG